GAUGAAGAACGCAGCGAAAUGCGAUACGUAAUGUGAAUUGCAGAUUUCAGUGAAUCAUCGAAUCUUUGAACGCACAUUGCGCCCGCCAGUAUUCUGGCGGGCAUGCCUGUUCGAGCGUCAUUUCAACCAUCAAGCCUUCGCUUGUGUUGGGGCCCCGCGGCUGCCGCGGUCCCCUAAAUCCAGUGGCGGGCUCGUCGUCGUACCGAGCGCAGUAGACAUCCUCGCUCCGGGAACCCGACGGGUGCCGGCCGUGAAACCCCCCACAUCAAGGUUGACCUCGGAUCAGGUAGGAAUACCCGCUGAACUUAAGCAUAUCAAUAAGCGGAGGG
rnacentral:misc_RNA from 1 species